GGGGAUGUAGUGGUUUUCGACAGGCUGAUCGGCUAUUAUAUAGUAAGCCAUAUAGUGUAAGGUGGAAACACUUAAAAGAACACAAACUUAAAUAUAAAUGCUGAUGAAAAACAAUUAGCAUACGCUGCCUAAUUAAUUUUACUGUGGCGUACAUCUUAAAUAUGUGCUAGUCACCACAUAUUAUAUAAGGUGUCAUUUUAGUGGCUACUAAUAUAUAUGAAACAUAUAAUAUAUAUUUAGUAUAAAUAUGUUAGCAAUUUAACUUUUUUGUUAUUUUAAGUUAACUUGUGAAAACCAAAAAAUAACUAUAUAUGGUAGAAAGCUAUAUAACCCCAGUUUGGAACGGAGUUCAAUUCUCCGCAUCUCCACCA
rnacentral:tmRNA from 1 species